rnacentral:tRNA from 1 species
UAGAAAGUAUUUCAUUUACACUGAAAUUUUAAUUGUGCAAAUCAAUUUAACUUGAUUAACUUUAUCUUACUUGUAU